UACGGAGGGAGCUAGCGUUGUUCGGAAUUACUGGGCGUAAAGCGCACGUAGGCGGCUUUGUAAGUUAGAGGUGAAAGCCCGGGGCUCAACCCCGGAAUUGCCUUUAAGACUGCAUCGCUUGAAUCCGGGAGAGGUGAGUGGAAUUCCGAGUGUAGAGGUGAAAUUCGUAGAUAUUCGGAAGAACACCAGUGGCGAAGGCGGCUCACUGGACCGGUAUUGAUGCUGAGGUGCGAAAGCGUGGGGAGCAAACAGG
rnacentral:rRNA from 1 species